rnacentral:rRNA from 1 species
AACGAACGCUGGCGGCAUGCCUAACACAUGCAAGUCGAACGAGACCUUCGGGUCUAGUGGCGCACGGGUGCGUAACGCGUGGGAACCUGCCCUUAGGUUCGGAAUAACUCCCCGAAAGGGGUGCUAAUACCGGAUAAUGUCUUCGGACCAAAGAUUUAUCGCCUUUGGAUGGGCCCGCGUUGGAUUAGCUAGUUGGUAGGGUAAAAGCCUACCAAGGCGACGAUCCAUAGCUGGUCUGAGAGGAUGAUCAGCCACACUGGGACUGAGACACGGCCCAGACUCCUACGGGAGGCAGCAGUGGGGAAUAUUGGACAAUGGGCGAAAGCCUGAUCCAGCAAUGCCGCGCGAGUGAUGAAGGCCUUAGGGUUGUAAAGCUCUUUUACCCGGGAUGAUAAUGACAGUACCGGAAGAAUAAGCUCCGGCUAACUCCGUG